AUUGAACGCUGGCGGCAUGCCUUACACAUGCAAGUCGAACGGCAGCAUGGGUGCUUGCACCUGAUGGCGAGUGGCGAACGGGUGAGUAAUGCAUCGGAACGUACCCGGAAGUGGGGGAUAACGUAGCGAAAGUUACGCUAAUACCGCAUAUUCUGUGAGCAGGAAAGAGGGGGAUCGCAAGACCUCUCGCUUUCGGAGCGGCCGAUGUCGGAUUAGCUAGUUGGCGGGGUAAAGGCCCACCAAGGCAACGAUCCGUAGCGGGUCUGAGAGGAUGAUCCGCCACACUGGGACUGAGACACGGCCCAGACUCCUACGGGAGGCAGCAGUGGGGAAUUUUGGACAAUGGGGGCAACCCUGAUCCAGCCAUGCCGCGUGAGUGAAGAAGGCCUUCGGGUUGUAAAGCUCUUUCGGCUGGGAAGAAAUCGCAUCUCCUAAUACGGGGUGUGGAUGACGGUACCAGCAUAAGAAGCACCGGCUAACUACGUGCCAGCAGCCGCCGCAG
rnacentral:rRNA from 1 species